UGCGUAGGCGGUACUAUAAGUCAGUGGUGAAAUACUGCAGCUCAACUGUAGAGGUGCCAUUGAAACUGUAAUACUUGAGUACAGACGAGGUAGGCGGAAUUUAUGGUGUAGCGGUGAAAUGCAUAGAUACCAUAAAGAACACCGAUAGCGAAGGCAGCUUACUAGACUGUAACUGACGCUGAGGCACGAAAGCGUGGGUAGCGAACAGGAUUAGAUACCCUGGUAGUCC
rnacentral:rRNA from 1 species